AAAAUUAAGGUCAAAAUUUUGAGUAGGAAAAAAAUCAAUAAGAGAAUUCCAUUUUCCUUCCCUCAUUCAUCGGAGAUCUCUCUUUGGGCAUUCCAAAAAGGUAUCACAUGCCAAGUUUGGCCUCACGGUCUAAAAGUUAUAGAGUAAUACAUUUUUAACAAAAAAAGAAGAGAAAAACCGAAAAAAAGAGGGAUGCAACACGAAGACUUUUCUGGAGGUCACCCAUCCUAGUACUACUCUCCCCCAAGCACGCUUAACUGUGGUGUUCUGAUAGGAUCAAGUGCAUUAGUGCUGGUAUGAUCGCAUCAGUUACUACAUGUAAUGCAAUCAUAUAUAUUCUUUUUUGAAGACUUUAUGAUCCAUUUGCCGUACGUCCCACCAGCUAUGUAGGAAUACCCUAUCUCGUUUAUUAGAGCUUUGAUACAUGCAAAAUAUUCGAAAACAAUGUCCGAACAUAUAAUGUUUGCCCCAAAAUAUAGAAAAGACCACGAAAAUGCCAUAAAAAGUACAUUAAGGUCAAAAUUUGGAGUAGGAAAAAAAAUCAAUAGGAGAAUUCCAUUUUCCUUCCUCAUUCAUCGGAGAGCUCUCUUUGGGCAUUCCAUAAAGGUAUCACAUGCCAAGUUUGGCCUCACGGUCUAAAAGUUAUAGAGUAAUACAUUUUUAACAAAAAAAAAAGAGAAAAACCGAAAAAAAGAGGGAUGCAACACGAAGACUUUUCUGGAGGUCACCCAUCCUAGUACUACUCUCCCACAAGCACGCUUAACUGUGGUGUUCUGAUAGGAUCAAGUGCAUUAGUGCUGGUAUGAUCGCAUCAGUUACUACAUGUAAUGCAAUCAUAUAUAUUCUUUUUUGAAGACUUUAUGAUCCAUUUGCCGUAGGUCCCACCAGUUAUGUAGGAAUACCCUAUCUCGUUUAUAAGAGCUUUGAUACAUGCAAAAUAUUCGAAAACAAUGUCCGAACAUAUAAUGUUUGCCCCAAAAUAUAGCAAAGACCACGAAAAUGCCAUAAAAAGUACAUUAAGGUCAAAAUUUGGAGUAGGAAAAAAAAUCAAUAGGAGAAUUCCAUUUUCCUUCCUCAUUCAUGGGAGAGCUCUCUUUGGGCAUUCCAAAAAGGUAUCACAUGCCAAGUUUGGCCUCACGGUCUAAAAGUUAUAGAGUAAUACAUUUUUAACAAAAAAAAAAGAGAAAAACCGAAAAAAAGAGGGAUGCAACACGAAGACUUUUCUGGAGGUCACCCAUCCUAGUACUACUCUCCCCCAAGCACGCUUAACUGUGGUGUUCUGAUAGGAUCAAGUGCAUUAGUGCUGGUAUGAUCGCAUCAGUUACUACAUGCAAUGCAAUCAUAUAUAUUCUUUUUUGAAGACGUUAUGAUCCAUUUGCCGUAGGUCCCACCAGCUAUGUAGGAAUACCCUAUCCUGUUUAUAAGAGCUUUGAUAUAUGCAAAAUAUUCAAAAACAAUGUCCGAACAUAUAAUUUUUGUCCCGUAAUAUAGCAAAGAUCACGAAAAGGCCAGAAAAAAUAAAUUUCGGUCAAAAUUUGGAGUAGAAAAAAAACCCUUCCUCAUUCAUUGGACAGCUCUCUUUGGGCUUUCCGAAAAGGUAUCACAUGCCAAGUUUGGCCUCACGGUCUAAACCUUAUAGACUCAUACAUUUUUUACAAAAAAAAGAAGAGAAAAACCAAAAAAAAGAGUGAUUAAACACGAGGACUUUCCUGGAGGUCACCCAUCCUAGUACUACUCUCGCCCAAGCACGCUUAACUGCGAAGUUCUUAUGGGAUCUGGUGCAUUAGUGCUGGUAUGAUCGCAUCUGUUACUACAUGCAAUGCAAUUGUAUCUAUUCUUUUUUGAAGAUUUUAUGAUUCAUUUACCGUGGGUCCCACCAGCUAUGUAGGAAUAACCUAUCUGAUUUAUAAAAGCUUUGAUACAUGCAAAAUAUUCGAAAACAAUGUCCGAACAUAUAAUGUUCGCCCCAAAAUAUAGCAAAGACCGUAAAAAUGCCAUAAAAAGUACAUUAAGGUCAAAAUUUGGAGUAGGAAAAAAAAUCAAUAGGAGAAUUCCAUUUUCCUUCCCUCAUUCAUCGAAGAGCUCUCUUUGGGCAUUCCAAAAAGGUAUCACAUGCCAAGUUUGGCCUCACGGUCUAAAAGUUAUAGAGUAUUACAUUUUUAACAAAAAAAAAAGAGAAAAACCGAUAAAAAGAGGGAUGCAACACGAAGACUUUUCUGGAGGUCACCAAUCCUAGUACUACUCUCCCCCAAGCACGCUUAACUGUGGUGUUCUGAUAGGAUCAAGUGCAUUAGUGCUGGUAUGAUCGCAUCAGUUACUACAUGCAAUGCAAUCAUAUAUAUUCUGUUUUGAAGACUUUAUGAUCCAUUUGUCGUAGGUCCCACCAGCUAUGUAGGAAUACCCUUUCUUGUUUAUAAGAGCUUUGAUACAUGCAAAAUAUUCGAAAACAAUGUCCGAACAUAUAAUUUUUGUCCCGUAAUAUAGCAAAGAUCACGAAAAGGCCAGAAAAAAUACAUUUCGGUCAAAAUUUGGAGUAGAAAAAAAGCCCUUCCUCAUUCAUUGGACAGCUCUCUUUGGGCUUUCCGAAAAGGUAUCACAUGCCAAGUUUGGCCUCACGGUCUAAACCUUAUAGACUCAUACAUUUUUCACAAAAAAAAGAAGAGAAAAACCAAAAAAAAAGAGUGAUUAAACACGAGGACUUUCCUGGAGGUCACCCAUCCUAGUACUACUCUCGCCCAAGCACGCUUAACUGCGAAGUUCUGAUGGGAUCUGGUGCAUUAGUGCUGGUAUGAUCGCAUCUGUUACUACAUGCAAUGAAAUCGUAUCUAUUCUUUUUUGAAGAUUUUAUGAUUCAUUUACCGUGGGUCCCACCAGCUAUGUAGGAAUAACCUAUCUCGUUUAUAAGAGCUUUGAUACAUGCAAAAUAUUCGAAAACAAUGUCCGAACAUAUAAUGUUUGCCCCAAAAUAUAGAAAAGACCACGAAAAUGCCAUAAAAAGUACAUUAAGGUCAAAAUUUGGAGUAGGAAAAAAAAUCAAUAGGAGAAUUCCAUUUUCCUUCCUCAUUCAUCGGAGAGCUCUCUUUGGGCAUUCCAUAAAGGUAUCACAUGCCAAGUUUGGCCUCACGGUCUAAAAGUUAUAGAGUAAUACAUUUUUAACAAAAAAAAAAGAGAAAAACCGAAAAAAAGAGGGAUGCAACACGAAGACUUUUCUGGAGGUCACCCAUCCUAGUACUACUCUCCCACAAGCACGCUUAACUGUGGUGUUCUGAUAGGAUCAAGUGCAUUAGUGCUGGUAUGAUCGCAUCAGUUACUACAUGUAAUGCAAUCAUAUAUAUUCUUUUUUGAAGACUUUAUGAUCCAUUUGCCGUAGGUCCCACCAGUUAUGUAGGAAUACCCUAUCUCGUUUAUAAGAGCUUUGAUACAUGCAAAAUAUUCGAAAACAAUGUCCGAACAUAUAAUGUUUGCCCCAAAAUAUAGCAAAGACCACGAAAAUGCCAUAAAAAGUACAUUAAGGUCAAAAUUUGGAGUAGGAAAAAAAAUCAAUAGGAGAAUUCCAUUUUCCUUCCUCAUUCAUGGGAGAGCUCUCUUUGGGCAUUCCAAAAAGGUAUCACAUGCCAAGUUUGGCCUCACGGUCUAAAAGUUAUAGAGUAAUACAUUUUUAACAAAAAAAAAAGAGAAAAACCGAAAAGAAGAGGGAUGCAACACGAAGACUUUUCUGGAGGUCAUCCAUCCUAGUACUACUCUCGCCCAAGCACACUUAACUGCGGUGUUCUGAUAGGAUCAAGUGCAUUAGUGCUGGUAUGAUCGCAUCAGUUACUACAUGCAAUGCAAUCUUAUAUAUUCUUUUUUGAAGACUUUAUGAUCCAUUUGCCGUCGGUCCCACCAGCUAUGUAGGAAUACCCUAUCUUGUUUAUAAGAGCUUUGAUAUAUGCAAAAUAUUCAAAAAUAAUGUCCGAACAUAUAAUUUUUGUCCCGUAAUAUAGCAAAGAUCACGAAAAGGCCAGAAAAAAUAAAUUUCGGUCAAAAUUUGGAGUAGAAAAAAAACCCUUCCUCAUUCAUUGGACAGCUCUCUUUGGGCUUUCCGAAAAGGUAUCACAUGCCAAGUUUGGCCUCACGGUCUAAACCUUAUAGACUCAUACAUUUUUUACAAAAAAAAGAAGAGAAAAACCAAAAAAAAGAGUGAUUAAACACGAGGACUUUCCUGGAGGUCACCCAUCCUAGUACUACUUUCGCCCAAGCACGCUUAACUGCGAAGUUCUUAUGGGAUCUGGUGCAUUAGUGCUGGUAUGAUCGCAUCUGUUACUACAUGCAAUGCAAUUGUAUCUAUUCUUUUUUGAAGAUUUUAUGAUUCAUUUACCGUGGGUCCCACCAGCUAUGUAGGAAUAACCUAUCUGAUUUAUAAAAGCUUUGAUACAUGCAAAAUAUUCGAAAACAAUGUCCGAACAUAUAAUGUUCGCCCCAAAAUAUAGCAAAGACCGUAAAAAUGCCAUAAAAAGUACAUUAAGGUCAAAAUUUGGAGUAGGAAAAAAAUCAAUAGGAGAAUUCCAUUUUCCUUCCCUCAUUCAUCGGAGAGCUCUCUUUGGGCAUUCCAAAAAGGUAUCACAUGCCAAGUUUGGCCUCACGGUCUAAAAGUUAUAGAGUAUUACAUUUUUAACAAAAAAAAAAGAGAAAAGCCGAUAAAAAGAGGGAUGCUACACGAAGACUUUUCUGGAGGUCACCAAUCCUAGUACUACUCUCCCCCAAGCACGCUUAACUGUGGUGUUCUGAUAGGAUCAAGUGCAUUAGUGCUGGUAUGAUCGCAUCAGUUACUACAUGCAAUGCAAUCAUAUAUAUUCUGUUUUGAAGACUUUAUGAUCCAUUUGUCGUAGGUCCCACCAGCUAUGUAGGAAUACCCUUUCUUGUUUAUAAGAGCUUUGAUACAUGCAAAAUAUUCGAAAACAAUGUCCGAACAUAUAAUUUUUGUCCCGUAAUAUAGCAAAGAUCACGAAAAGGCCAGAAAAAAUACAUUUCGGUCAAAAUUUGGAGUAGAAAAAAAGCCCUUCCUCAUUCAUUGGACAGCUCUCUUUGGGCUUUCCGAAAAGGUAUCACAUGCCAAGUUUGGCCUCACGGUCUAAACCUUAUAGACUCAUACAUUUUUCACAAAAAAAAGAAGAGAAAAACCAAAAAAAAAGAGUGAUUAAACACGAGGACUUUCCUGGAGGUCACCCAUCCUAGUAAUACUCUCGCCCAAGCACGCUUAACUGCGAAGUUCUGAUGGGAUCUGGUGCAUUAGUGCUGGUAUGAUCGCAUCUAUUACUACAUGCAAUGAAAUCGUAUCUAUUCUUUUUUGAAGAUUUUAUGAUUCAUUUACCGUGGGUCCCACCAGCUAUGUAGGAAUAACCUAUCUU
rnacentral:sRNA from 1 species